rnacentral:lncRNA from 1 species
AGGAUUAUAUUAAGGAGCGUCAAAAUGUAAAAAAGCAGACACAUGCAGAAAACAAGGAGAGUCAAUGUAUCGUAUGUAUAUAAAACUAAAAUUUCGACCCAGCGUAAUAGUGCAAUUGACACCCCUUAGCACAAGGUAGCUCUGACACUGACAACAAUGAUAAUAAGUAUGCCUCAAUCUCGAGCAAAUUGGAUGAACUCUAUGUUAUGUUUUGAUGCAAAAUCCAACUGUUUAUUAUGUGUUCUAUCUUUCGUUAAGUAAACAUAUAUUAUGUAUAUAAACCUAAAUUAUGACCUAGCUAAAUAGUGUAAUUUUUCAGACUAAGGGGUGUCAAUUAGCAUAAGGUGGCUCUGCCACUGACAACACAAUAAUGACUGCAUGCCUCAAUCUCGAGCAAAUUGGAUGAACUUUAUGUUAUGUUUUGAUCAACAAUAAACAUCGUGUCCUAUCUUUUGUUAAGUCAUCAUAUAGUAUGUAUAGAAGCAUAAAUUAUGGCCUAGAUAAAUAGUGUAAUUUUUCGGACUAAGGGGUGUCGAUUAGCAUAAGGUGGCUCUGCCUCUGACAGCACAAUAAUGAGUACGACUCAAUCUCGAGCAGAUUAGAUGAACUUUAUGUUAUGUUUUGAUCAAUAAUAAACAUUGUGUCCUAUCUUUCGGUAAGUCAUCAUAUAGUAUGUAUAUAAACCUCAACUAUGAUCUAGCGAAAUAGUGUAAGUUUUCGGACUAAGGGAUGUCAAUUAGCAUAAGGUAGCUCUGGCACUGACAACACAAUAAUAAGUAUGCUCCAGUCUCGAGCAAAUUGGAUGAAUUUUAUGUUAUGUUUUGUUCGACAAUAAACACUGUGUCCUAUCUUUCGCUAAGUCGACAUAGAAUUCGAAGA